rnacentral:rRNA from 1 species
AUUGAACGCUGGCGGCAUGCUUUACACAUGCAAGUCGAACGGUAACAGGCCGCAAGGUGCUGACGAGUGGCGAACGGGUGAGUAAUGCAUCGGAACGUGCCCAGUCGUGGGGGAUAACUAUCCGAGAGGAUAGCUAAUACCGCAUACGAUCUGCGGAUGAAAGCGGGGGACCUUCGGGCCCCGCGCGAUUGGAGCGGCCGAUGUCAGAUUAGGUAGUUGGUGGGGUAAAGGCUCACCAAGCCAGCGAUCUGUAGCUGGUCUGAGAGGACGACCAGCCACACUGGGACUGAGACACGGCCCAGACUCCUACGGGAGGCAGCAGUGGGGAAUUUUGGACAAUGGGCGCAAGCCUGAUCCAGCAAUGCCGCGUGCAGGAAGAAGGCCUUCGGGUUGUAAACUGCUUUUGUACGGAACGAAACGGCUCUGGUUAAUACCUGGGGCUAAUGACGGUACCGUAAGAAUAAGCACCGGCUAACUACGUGCCAGCAGCCGCAGUAA